rnacentral:rRNA from 1 species
GACGAACGCUGGCGGCGUGCCUAAUACAUGCAAGUAGAACGCUGAAGGAGGAGCUUGCUUCUCUGGAUGAGUUGCGAACGGGUGAGUAACGCGUAGGUAACCUGCCUGGUAGCGGGGGAUAACUAUUGGAAACGAUAGCUAAUACCGCAUAAUAUUGACUAUUGCAUGAUAGUCAGUUGAAAGGUGCAACUGCACCACUACCAGAUGGACCUGCGUUGUAUUAGCUAGUUGGUGGGGUAACGGCUCACCAAGGCGACGAUACAUAGCCGACCUGAGAGGGUGAUCGGCCACACUGGGAAUGAGACACGGCCCAGACUCCUACGGGAGGCAGCAGUAGGGAAUCUUCGGCAAUGGACGGAAGUCUGACCGAGCAACGCCGCGUGAGUGAAGAAGGUUUUCGGAUCGUAAAGCUCUGUUGUAAGAGAAGAACGAGUGUGAGAGUGGAAAGCUCACACUGUGACGGUAUCUUACCAGAAAGGGACGGCUAACUACGUG